rnacentral:rRNA from 1 species
ACGCUGGCGGCAGGCCUAACACAUGCAAGUCGAGCGGAAACGACUUAACUGAACCUUCGGGGAACGUUAAGGGCGUCGAGCGGCGGACGGGUGAGUAAUGCCUAGGAAAUUGCCCUGAUGUGGGGGAUAACCAUUGGAAACGAUGGCUAAUACCGCAUGAUGCCUACGGGCCAAAGAGGGGGACCUUCGGGCCUCUCGCGUCAGGAUAUGCCUAGGUGGGAUUAGCUAGUUGGUGAGGUAAUGGCUCACCAAGGCGACGAUCCCUAGCUGGUCUGAGAGGAUGAUCAGCCACACUGGAACUGAGACACGGUCCAGACUCCUACGGGAGGCAGCAGUGGGGAAUAUUGCACAAUGGGCGCAAGCCUGAUGCAGCCAUGCCGCGUGUGUGAAGAAGGCCUUCGGGUUGUAAAGCACUUUCAGUCGUGAGGAAGGURGURKWGUUAAUAGCWMYAUYAYUUGACGUUAGCGACAGAAGAAGCACCGGCUAACUCCGUGCCAGCAGCCGCGGUAAUACGGAGGGUGCGAGCGUUAAUCGGAAUUACUGGGCGUAAAGCGCAUGCAGGUGGUUUGUUAAGUCAGAUGUGAAAGCCCGGGGCUCAACCUCGGAAUAGCAUUUGAAACUGGCAGACUAGAGUACUGUAGAGGGGGGUAGAAUUUCAGGUGUAGCGGUGAAAUGCGUAGAGAUCUGAAGGAAUACCGGUGGCGAAGGCGGCCCCCUGGACA